UACAGAGGUCUCAAGCGUUGUUCGGAUUCAUUGGGCGUAAAGGGUGCGUAGGUGGCGCGCUAAGUCAGGUGUGAAAUUUCGGAGCUUAACUCCGAAACUGCAUUUGAUACUGGCGUGCUUGAGGACUGGAGAGGAGACUGGGAUUCAUGGUGUAGCAGUGAAAUGCGUAGAGAUCAUGAGGAAGACCAGUGGCGAAGGCGGGUCUCUGGACAGUUCCUGACACUGAGGCACGAAGGCCAGGGGAGCAAACGGG
rnacentral:rRNA from 1 species